rnacentral:rRNA from 1 species
AAAGCUGAAGUCAAGCAGGACUACCCGCUGAACUUAAGCAUAUUAUUAAGCGGAGGAAAAGAAAUCAACAGAGAUUGCCUUAGUAGUGGCGAACGAACAGGCAAGAGUCCAAGCUGUAAAUCUCCGCUCUUCGGGCGGCGAGUUGUAAGCUCAAGACUUGGAUCCGUAGACGGAAGGCGCGCAUAACUGGCCUGGAACGGCUGGGCAAAGAGGGUGAAACUCCCGUAUUUGGUGCGUCUGAAGUUGAAGGGCCGGGUCACAGAGUCGGGUAGCUUGGGAUUGCUGCCUUAAUCGGGUGAUAAUCUUCACCUAAGACUAAAUAUGGAUGGGAAACCGAUAGUGAACAAGUACUGUGAAGGAAAGAUGAAAAGAACUUUGAAAAGAGGGUCAAAAGACUUGAAAUCGUUGAGAAGGAAGGUAAGGAAGCUGGCAGAGGUGCGUGAUGCUGUACGAAAGCGAAGGCGGAUGGAUUCCUCAAAAGGUCCUGAAGUUGUAGCCGAGGAAAAGCCUCUCCGCGCCGAAGGCAAGAUCAGGUUCGUCGCUGUUGGAAGGGGCGUUGAUUUUCCGGGGUUUCCCGAAGCUGCGUUCUGAAGCACUGGCGGGCCUGAGGGGCUUUUGCGAUCUUGCCGAAACGGCUUUCUUACAACCGUCUUGAAACACGGACCAAGGAGUCAAACAAACAUGCGAGUUUGCGGGUGUUAAACCCAUAGGCGUAAUGAAAGUGAGUAUAAGGUGCCAAGGCGCAAGCUGGCAGCAUCAACCGCCGCUGAUCUUCUGUGAAGCGCGUGAGUAAGAGCAUAUUUGUUUGGACCCGAAAGAUGGUGAACUAUGCGUGAGUAGGGUGAAGCCAGGAGAAAUUCUGGUGGAGGCUCGAAGCGGUACUGACGUGCAAAUCGUUCGUCGAACUUGCGUAUAGGGGCGAAAGACUAAUCGAACCAUCUAGUAGCUGGUUCCCUCUGAAGUUUCUCUCAGGAUAGCUAGAGCAAUCAUGCAGUUUUGCUAGGUAAAGCUAAUGAUUAGAGGUUACGGGGGUCCAGUGCCCUCGGCCUAUUCUCAAACUUUAAAUUGGUAAGAACCGGAGGUUUUCUUCAUUGAACCGAGGGGAAGAAUGCAUGCUCUAAGUGGGCCAUUUUUGGUAAGCAGAACUGGCGAUGAGGGAUGAACCUAACGUCGAGUUAAGGCGCCUAAAUUCGCAAUCAUUGGACACCAUAAAAGGCGUUGUUUCAUUGAGACAGCAGGACGGUAUCCAUAAUAGUAGGAAUCCGCUAAGGAGUGUCUUCAAACUCACCUGCUUAAUGGAUCAGCCCUGAAAAUGGAUGGCGCUACAUUGCGAUGCCGAUACUCGACCGUCAGAGCUAUUAUGAUGCUUUGACGAGUAAGAGGGCGUGGGCGUGGUGCAGAAGCCGAGGCGUGAGCCUAGGUGGAACCGCGCUUAGUGCAGAUCUUGGUGGUAGUAGCAAUUAUUCAAAUGAGAACUUUGAAGGCCGAAGUGGAGAAGGGUUCCAUGAGAACAGUAUUUGGUCAUGGGUUACUCGGUCCUAAGGCAUAGGUUAACUCCUUUAUCCAAGCGCUAUCAGCGCGAUGCCGAAAGGGAAUGAGGUUUAUAUUCCUCAAGCUGGACGAGGUGUUUCGCGGCAACGCAAGCGAGCUCGGAGACGUCAGCGUGAACUCCUGGAAGAAUUGUCUUUUCUUUUUAACUGACUAUCGCCCUGGAAUUGGAUUAUCCAGAGAGAGGGCUUCAAGUCAGGAAGAGCAGCCUACUUUUUGGGCUGUCAGGUGCGUUCAUGAUGAUCAGUGAAAAUCCGGGGGAGGUGUACUUCUCGCCAGUCCGUACCAACAACCGCAUCAGGUCUCCUAGGUUAGCAGCCUCUGGUCGAUAGAAUAAUGUAGAUAAGGGAAUUCGGCAAAUUAGAUCCGUAACUUCGGGAAAAGGAUUGGCUCUGAAGACUGGGUUUGCGGGGCCUGCUCUAACGUGCUGAGGCUGAAUUGUGGAGAUUUCGGUCUCUGCUUUGAUGUCGCGGUGCGCGAAAGUAUGGAGCUGCGGGCGUAAAACAGUCAAUUCAGAACUGAAGCGGACAGGGGGAUUCUAACUGUUUAAUAAAAACACAGCAAAAGUGAUGCCUGAAAAGGUUUUGACACUUUGUUAAUCCUGCCCAGUGCUUUGUACGUUAAUGUGAGGAAAGUUGAGCAAGCACAGGUAAACGGCGGAAGUAACUAUGACUUUCUUAAGGUAGCGAAAUGCCUCGGCAUGUAAUUUGUGUCCUGCAUGAAUGGAUCAAUGAGGUUCCUACUGUCCCUAUCUACUAUCUAGCGAACCCACAGCCCAAGGGAACGGGCUUGGCAAAAUCAGCGGGGAAAGAAGACCCUGUUGAGCUUGACUCUAGUCUGACUUUGUGAAUUGAAAGAAAUGGUGUAGCCUUAGGUGGGAGCCUUGCGUCAAUGAAAAACCACUAACAUUUUUAUUCAUUUUACUUAUUCCGUGAGGUAGAAUGCCCAUUAGGGUUUUCUAGUUCUAAAGUCGUCUAACGGCUUGAUCUAGGCGGAAGACAUAGUCAGGUGGGGAGUUUGGCUGGGGCGGUACAUCUGUUAAACGUCAACGCAGGUGUCCUAAGGAAAGCUCAAAGAGAACAGAAAUCUCUUGUAGACUAAAAGGGGAAAAGCUUUCUUGAUUUUGAUUAUCAGUGUCAAUACAAACCGCGAAAGCGUGGCCUAUCGAUCCUUUAACUUUACAAGAUUUAAGCUAGAGGUGCCAGAAAAGUUACCACAGGGAUAACUGACUUGUGGCAGCCAAGCGAUCAUAGCGACGUUGCUUUUUGAUCCUUCGAUGUCGGCUCUUCCUAUCAUUGAGAAGCACAAAUCUCAACGUGUCGGAUUGUUCACCCGCUAACAGGGAACGUGAGCUGGGUUUAGACCGUUGUGAGACAGGUUAGUUUUACCCUACUGAUGAACCGAUACCGCGACAGUAGGAAAGUUUAGUACGAGAGGAACGGCUUUUCCGGAUAAUUGGUAAAUACGGUUGGCUGAAAAGCCAGUGCCGUGAAGCUAACAUCCGUUGGAUAAAGGCUGAACGCCUCUAAGUCAGAA